AGGAUUAACGCUGGCGGCGUGCCUGACACAUGCAAGUCGAACGAGGCCGCAAGGCCGAGUGGCGGACGGGUGAGUAACACGUGACCAACCAACCUCGAAGUUGGGAAUAGCUCUGCGAAAGUAGGGGUAAUACCGAAUGUGGCCCAGGGCAGGCAUCUGCCUUGGUCUAAAGAUUCAUCGCUUCGAGACGGGGUCGCGGCCUAUUAGCUUGUUGGUGGGGUAACGGCUCACCAAGGCGAUGAUGGGUAGCUGGUCUGAGAGGACGACCAGCCACACUGGGACUGAGACACGGCCCAGACUCCUACGGGAGGCAGCAGUGAGGAAUCUUCCGCAAUGGGCGAAAGCCUGACGGAGCAACGCCGCGUGUGGGAUGAAGGCUCUAGGGUUGUAAACCACUGUCGGAGGGACGAUCGUGACGGUACCCUCAAGAAGCCCCGGCUAACUACGUGCCAGCAGCCGC
rnacentral:rRNA from 1 species